rnacentral:lncRNA from 1 species
GGGAGGCAGCCAGCUGAGAUGUCGGGAAGCCCACGGACUGAGCCAGAAGGCGGAACAUGAACCUUUUUGAGAGGGAGACGCCGAGGCCACCGGAUAAUCCCCCGAUGAAAGAUCGUUCAAGGAAAACAGAAUGAAGCUGCAGGGUAUGCAGGCAUUUCCACAAAUGAUGGAGGUUCGUAAACAACCUUUCAUCAAGAAGGCAAGAGGAGUGGACGGUUUCUCCUCCUGCCUACUUUCAGCUGUGUCAUCAGUACUAUUUACUGCUUCUCUGCUCCCCUUCCCCCCUCUCACCAAUCCCAGGGCAAAUGAUUUAUUUCCUGUCUGUCUGUCUAUCUGUCUGUCUUUCUGAGAGCAUGGAAGUGUUGCCUUUUGCACUACAGCCCCCAGAAUUCCCCAACCAGCACAUGCCCUUUGCAAACAUGAUUGCUCAGGGACAGGAGCUUUGAAGGAAUGCUGCUCUGAAGGGAAAAUGGGGGGGAAUUGCCUUCUCAUGGCAAAGCUUAGCCUGUGGUCUGCUUCUGUCCCCCAGUGACUGUCCCGCCUCCUGGCCUUGUGUCUCAUGUAGGGGCUCCCCAACUCUGCACGUUUCUGCGGGACACCAAAGUCUCAGAGAGAGAGAGAGAGAGAGCUCCCGGAAGACAGGAAACCAUGGAAAAGGAUGGCGAUUCUUGCAGUGCUCACGACACCGGAGGCGGAGGAGGAGGAGGAGAAGCGGCGGUGGGUCCACCAGAACUGAAGGAAGAACUGAAAGCCAGCCCUGAAGGGUCCUCCCAGAUCGCUGAAGGAAGUAGCCCCCCAAGUGGAGCCCAAGGAACGGAGGAAAGCCACGGCCACGCCGGUGAGCCGAGCGCUGUCGAAGCCGGAGCGGGACAGGGCCCGGGGGAGGAUGCCAAGAGAGAGGCGGAAAACCAAACACACCCAGAAAGCGCCCAACAGAAGCACCUGCCCCUUCAGCAAAGCUUCAGCUGCCCGGCCAAUGUGCCCAGCUUAGGAGAUAUUCCCGAGGAGACGUCGGAGGGUCCCCAAAAGCAGAACCAGAAAGAUUUCGUUCCCACCUCCGGCCAAGCUGUAGAAUCCAUGCCUGCCGCGGCAGGAGAAGACUCUGGCCUGACGCCGGAGCCCACCGGAGAACCGCCGAGCCCAGCUGAGAAGGAAGCAGAGCGGACCUCGACCGAGCCGCCGAAGGAGGCUCCAGAAAGCACAGGCGCGGAUGCCGGGGUCACGAUCCCUGCAGAGAAGCCCCAACCGGCAGAGCAGCCACCUGCAGAAAAGGGGGAGGCCCCGGCCUCACCGGCAGACCAGGGGGCUCCUCCCGUGCCAGAAUCCCCCUCCAGCCCUUACCUCACGGCGAACUUUGGCAAAGAGGACCCUCUGAUUUUGGGUAAGGCCACCACGGCCCCGGGAACGAGAGCAAAAGGAGCGUGAGGUCCGUGCACCUUUUUCAGCUUCUCAGCUUUUAGGAUUUUUUAGAAGCGGGUGUUGUGCUUGAGACCCUGAGUGGUCUCAGGGCUGUGGUGGCUUUCGUGUAAAGAGGAGGGGGGGUCACAUGUUUCUAUUUCUAUGCUAUGUUACAGCAAUAAUAUUUGAAGUGCAAGAGCUGGAAAAGGGGAAUGUUUCUAUUUCUAUGCUACGUUACAGAAAUAAAAUUUGAAGUGCAAGAGCUGGAAAAGGGGUC